CAGUAGCCGCGGGAAUACGUAGGUGGCAAGCGUUGUCCGGAAUUAUUGGGCGUAAAGCGCGCGCAGGCGGAUAGGUCAGUCUGUCUUAAAAGUUCGGGGCUUAACCCCGUGAUGGGGUGGAAACUGCCAAUCUAGAGUAUCGGAGAGGAAAGUGGAAUUCCUAGUGUAGCGGUGAAAUGCGUAGAUAUUAGGAAGAACACCAGUGGCGAAGGCGACUUUCUGGACGAAAACUGACGCUGAGGCGCGAAAGCCAGGGGAGCGAACGGGAUUAGAUAUCCCUGUAGUCCCUGUCUCUUAUACC
rnacentral:rRNA from 1 species